UGUGUCCAAAUCUUCUCAGAGCUGAAGUGAUGCUGAAUACGUGAUACGGCCAGAUCUGCCAUCAGACCUACUGAAUACGUGAUACGGCCAGAUCUGCCAUCAGACCUACUGAAUACGUGAUACGGCCAGAUCUGCCAUCAGACCUACUGAAUACGUGAUACGGCCAGAUCUGCCAUCAGACCUACUGUGUGAUUUCUCUGUCAGGAACUAGUCUGUCUGGAUAAGGAAUAAUGUCCCAGAUUCUAACAAGCAGCACCGUCAGUUACUGGAGGUCUGUUCUCUCGGUCUGGCCACAUGUUGAAUCACUACUGUAGUAGUUGCUGUCACAACUCUUCCGUCCUGUUGGAAUGAGAAGAAGAAGGGGGGAAAAAACACUGAGAAUGACCAGAUUAAACUGUCCUGAUGACUGAGGGCUGGUGACAAUGGUCACUAUGAUGCUCUGAGACCCAGCCGGGCGUUUGAGUUCACACGGGACCCGUCUGUGGGGCAGAUAGCUCUGGCUUUCCUCCAGGCCUCCUUUGCCUUCAGCGGCUGGAACUUCCUGAACUACGUCACUGAGGAGGUGGUCGAGCCACGCAAGAACCUGCCCCGGGCUAUCUACAGUAAUAAUAUCUAUCUCUAUAGGAACCUGCCCCGGGCUAUCUACAGUAAUAAUAUCUAUCUCUAUAGGAACCUGCCCCGGGCUAUCUACAGUAAUAAUAUCUAUCUCUAUAGGAACCUGCCCCGGGCUAUC